CUCUCUCUCAGGAGAUGCAGGCUACAGCUAAAUCCUGGACCAGUGACUCCUGGAACGCUGCAGAACUUCGGUGUGUCUGGAACUCCUUCGGUGCCGAUGGUUGCUGAUCCCUCCAGUCCUUCAGCAGCUGGUUCUGUUGUUCAUCCAGAUAUUUGAGCCUCUGAGUCUCGUUCUCAAUCAGCAGCAGAUCCUGGAACUUGUGGAGGUCGCGUUCCUGCUCUACUUUGAUGCGUUUGGUCUCGUCCUUGAGUCUAACAUGGUGGUCUCCCUCCAUCUUCUCAAUGGUCUGCUUCUGGUUCUUCUCCAGGCUCUCCAGCUCCACAUCGUAGUGCUUCUUCUUGGCCUGGGACGCACCGAGAGGAAACAAGCACACUUUUGGCGUAGAGACCGGCCUGAGCGCGUUGCUCUUCCUUCUGCAGCAAACGGAGCUCCCGCAACUCCUGACGUCUUAACACACACAAACACACACGCUGUUACUUUUAACGUAUAUACAGUACAACUUUAGUUUAUGAGUUUAACUACAUCUCAGACAAGCAAACACAGUUAAUACUAAUAUUUAAGUUAAGUGUUUGUGUGUGUGUAUAUGUGGGUGGAAGCAUGAGUGUGUAUUACAAACAUAUCUAUGUGGAUGUAUAUGGGUGUGUGUAUGUAUUGUAUGAACGUUAUGGUAUUUGUUUAGGGGAUUGAUAAGCUCUCUCGGCCAUGACAUGUCAAUCCCAUAUGUUAUAUGUUGUUUCACUGUAUGUUGUAUAUUUUAUUUUGUCUAAUAAAAAAAUAUUGAAGUUAAUACCAUCACUCUAUAUUAAUUAUUUUAAAAGAGGUAUGUGGGGAGAUAUCAAAAAUGUACCCCUUUCUCUCAGCUUCUGAA